rnacentral:tRNA from 1 species
GGAGACGUGGCUGAGCGGUCGAAAGCGGCACCCUGCUAAGGUGUUGUGGCAUUUGUCACCGGAGGUUCAAAUCCUCUCGUCUCCG